rnacentral:misc_RNA from 1 species
GAUGAAGAACGCAGCAAAAUGCGAUAAGUAAUGUGAAUUGCAGAAUUCAGUGAAUCAUCGAAUCUUUGAACGCACAUUGCGCCCGCUGGUAUUCCGGCGGGCAUGCCUGUUCGAGCGUCAUUUCAACCCUCAAGCCCCCGGGUUUGGUGUUGGGGAUCGGCUCUGCCCUUCUGCGCGGUGCCGCCCCCGAAAUACAUUGGCGGUCUUGCUGCAGCCUCCAUUGCGUAGUAGCUAACACCUCGCAACUGGAACGCGGCGCGGCCAUGCCGUAAAACCCCAACUUCUGAAUGUUGACCUCGGAUCAGGUAGGAAUACCCGCUGAACUUAAGCAUAUCAAUAAGCGGAGGA